GACGAACCGUGCGAACGUUAUUCGGAAUCACUGGGCUUAAAGGGCGCGUAGACGGAUCGCCGCGUCGAGUGCUGAAAGUUCCCGGCUCAACCGGGGAAGUGGCCUCGAUACGGGCGGCCUCGAGGCGAGGAGGGGGACCCGGAACGUCCGGUGGAGCGGUGAAAUGCGUUGAGAUCGGAUGGAACGCCGACGGCGAAAGCGGGGUCCUGGACUCGUACUGACGUUGAGGCGCGAAAGCCAGGGGA
rnacentral:rRNA from 1 species